rnacentral:rRNA from 1 species
UACGUAGGGGGCAAGCGUUGUCCGGAAUCAUUGGGCGUAAAGAGCGUGUAGGCGGCCCGAUAAGUCCGCCGUGAAAGUCCAGGGCUCAACCCUGGAAUGCCGGUGGAAACUGUCGGGCUGGAGUCCGGAAGAGGCGAGUGGAAUUCCUGGUGUAGCGGUGAAAUGCGCAGAUAUCAGGAGGAACACCAAUGGCGAAGGCAGCUCGCUGGGACGGUACUGACGCUGAGGAACGAAAGCCAGGGUAGCGAACGGG